GCGGGAGGGGCAGGGAGGCGCUGUAGGUCAUGGAGCCCAAGGGCGCCCCGACGGGUCCCCCCGGCGGCAGGCCCAGCGCGGGCGAGCCGGUGCGCAUCUGGUUCAGGGUCGGCCUGCCUUGCUCGCCCGAGCCAAACGGGGCUGCUGGACUUCCCCGUGGCCAGGGCCUGGCUGUCCUUGGGCUCUGUGGAUUCUAGAGGUUUGGCAAAUGGAUCGAAGGAUGAGGCACCACCUAGAGCUAGCCAGGAGGAAGAGGGAAAUGGAGUCAACUAGAAGAAAGGCAUCUUUUAAUGACCCCUCACCUCUGAUCAGCACUUCCCAUUUAUACAACGUUUCCUCAUCCAUGUAGUGCCCCAUUUCAUACCAUCGCUGUGAGGCUCUCUGUCCCGUCGACGUCGGCCAGCGGGUUCUGUGCCGCCGUUGGCCACGGGAGAGUCAUCAUCCUUCCAGGACCUCGCCCCCUGCCGAAGGGACAGGUACCCUGAGAACGUCUCUAGCCCACCCAUGUAAGAGACAUAAAUGUUUCCUGCCUGGUCUGCCUGGAUCCACAGAGAUAAUGAAAGAUGAUGAGGCAUCCUGUCCAGACCCAGGUCUCACCUUUUCAGCCUCUUCACGGCUCAUGGCCAGGGCCAGCUGCAGCUGCAGUUCUUCUUCUCCGGAUGUCUGGGGCCGGGCCUGCUCCAGGUCUGAGGCAUAGCGCGGGGACGAGGAUGCAGCUGCAACAAGAGUGGUUCCCGUGAGCACACCGGUCCCCACGGUCCCCACGGUCCCCACAUUCCUCUGCCUGCCAGGAAGCUGGGCCUCACAGAGAGGGAGCCAAAGGAGACUGGCUCUUCAGGCUCCCGGGAGCCAGGCAGUGCACUGGGCAGCCCAUGUGGGUUUCCACUGCUAAGGCAGAUGCCAGGGUCACCUUGGCAGGGAGUAGACAGUGCAGGGGGUGCCUGGCCACUCAGGGCCCUAAGUCAGAACUUAAUGCAGGUCCCUGACAUCAGCUCUUGAACUCUUCCAAUGGGACCCUAGCCUGCUUGGGGCCACGGGGAUUAAGAGGAAGGGAUCUGCCAAUCAAACAAAAUCACAGCCUCGGAGCCCCAAGCAGGCCAUCAUGGGCUUUAUGGAGGAGGGCCAUUCUGGUAUUCCUAAGGUCACAAAGGCCUCCACACCACUGUGGCAAGCCAUCAGGAAGGAUGUUUCAUCACCAGCCACCCUUGUUUUCAAGGACAAUACUCUUGAGUGGUGGGGAUUUACAAAAACAUCAGGUGUCUUGAGUAAAAGGGUCAAGGGCAUUCUUGGGCCUUGUCUCAUUCAGUUCUCAGAUCAAACAAUAGAGGGAGGUAAGUGUACCUCUGUUUUACAAAGAGCUGGUUGCCCAAGCCACGCAGCUUGGAAGGAACAGAAUGAAUGGUAUGCAACUCCAGAGGCUGCAUUUCGACCUCCCUGCCACCCUCUCAACAGCUAACUAAUAACAAGGACAAGCAAUUGAUAAUGCCAUUAUCUCAUCCGAAUUGCCGAGCACCUACUGUGUGCAAGCAUGGUGCUUUUUCACAUUACGUUCUUUAUCUGGAUGGGUCCUCCCAGCCUCCUUUCUGGGGUAGGGACUCUCUCUCAUUCAUGGCUGCGGGCUGCAGAGCCAGGACUGUGGCUGGGCUACCACCACCAUCACCACCCUCUCCAGCCAUACCAUUCGGGUCUACUCACAGGUGUAGGAGGAGGGGGAUCCCCGAGAUCUCCGGCUGAAGCCCAGCUGCCCACUGCCAAUGCUCAUGCCCUCCAGGGCCAUCCUCUCUUUGGUCUUGAGGGCGUGGGUUCGCUCUUGCCGCAGACGCUCCUCGUCCCUGAGCAGGGCCAUCACCUGUUUGACCUUCUCACGGACAUUGACGCCUUGGUCCUUGCCAUCGCGGUCAAUGUACUGGAAGUCCUUGAGCGUCUGGAUGGUGUAGAGGUUCUCACGGCACUGGUGGGCCACACGCUCCGAGCCCGUCUUGAGUAAGUAGUCCAACAGUGUCAGAGCCUUGUAUACAUGUCGCCAGUUCUUCCCGCUGUCAUUGAGUCGCCGCCACAACAUGCCCAUGACCUCAGCAAAGGCCACUGUGUUGAAGGUCAAGUCAGCGAUCUCGGACAUGAGGGAACUGGGUGGGCCCCAGGGGUCAUUGCUGGUGGCCUCGCGCACCUUGAUCUCGGCCUCCGAGUAGUUGUGAACAAUGUUCUUCACCUGGCGUCGGAGCGCAGAGGUUGUCAUGGUCGGGGACUUGGAGGUGGGCAGCCCCCACCCCCGCCGGAGGUAGAGGGCUGAGGGCCACCGUCUUGAGGUCACUGUCUCGAAGGAUGGGCCGCCGUGCUUUCAGCAGGGCGGCUGCGUCCUUGGGUUCCACAUGGGGCUGAGAAAAAGAGGACCUGGGACUCAGGAUCGGUGGCUUCCUCACCGUUCAUUCACUCACCGAGUAGGACCUGGCCAGAGAGUCCCUGCUGCCAGGAAUGGCUUUGGCCAACACUUAACUUUUAUUUUUCUUACUGUACCCACUGCUCAAUGGACCCUGUUUGUUUGGCAUGCUUGUCCAUACGACCACCAGACCAAGAUGUUGAGAUGCCCUAUCUCUAGUCACAUAGGGGGACAGGUGGGACUCAAAGAAUGAGUCCAUGAUUAUUCCUCUGACAUCACAGAGCUGGUAAGUGGGGGCAGUCCUCCCUCCGCCUGAAUGGGUGGCUUCAAGGAUCAUAAAGUGACCACCAGGAAUGUCAGUUUCCUGCCCCACUCACGCUUGUCUCCUCCUCCAUUUGUGCCUCAACCUUUCCAGUUCAGCCCUUCACUCUUUCCUCUGAUGGCCAUUCUUCAUAAUUUAAUUCACUCAACGCCCAUUUCCUGGGGGUCUUCCCCAAGCCCCGCCACAUGCUUGUAGAACACCCACAACCAAGUGGAAGGGUCCGGCGAUCACAGCCCACGGUGGGCGUGCUCAGAGGUAAAGAAGGCACAAGCAAAGAGGAUAGUGGGCACCUUCCUAGAGGAGGUGGCACUAAGUUAGACACAGAGAGAAGGGUGAGGAGAUGGAGGGGACCAGCGAAGUGAGGAAUCUGUGAGCAUCAGGGGUGCACCUGCUGGCCUCUGCCACACGCGCCCAGGAGUGCUGUACCCGCCUGUGUCAAAGGGCAUGUAGGUGGCAGGGCUGAGAUGAACACCACCUGUUUCCUUGAGACUAAUUCAAUACUUAUCGUCAACGUCACCUAGUUGGUUAAUUAAUCCAUCUAAUUACUUGUUUCAGAACCACCUUUUCAGCCAGAAUGGAAGUUCCCUGAGGGCAGGGGCAGUCCACGCAAACUACCAAGGCCUUAGGCACACAGAAGACCUCUGAUAGUCCCAUAGACGCAGAUUCAAAGGGACGGUCGGCCACAUGUCUUUCCACAGCCUCGGGAGGCAGAGGAGAGUCCCCCAAGGCCUUGCCAGAAACCCAAAGUAGGAGCCUCCUGCCUUCAUCAUGGCACUAAUACAGUUUUACACACGAAUACAUGUGUACAAACACACACACACACACACACACACACAGAAGCUGGGUCAGCAGAACCUCCAUUUUCUCCAUGAACGCCCCCCACCACCAUAGAGAUCACGCCUCCCCAGAUCACCCUCCGGCCUGACCUCAGCUGUCCCAGCCUCCUGAGAGGUGGGGGCAGGAGUUGCAGUAUGGGAAGUUUGUCCUUCCAGCACCCGCAGGUGAAUGAUUGGCUCAGUUCAAAGUACCCACAGGCCUUGGCCGGUCCCGAUCUUGAGCCGAAGGAUGGGAGUCUGUGGAAAGUGGACCCCCUGGCCCGUAGAGCUGCCUACCUUAUGUCUUUCUGUCCAGCCGGCCUUCUGUGGGAAUGCCACAGCCACAACUUGUUUAACUCCUGCCCUCCCCCUCGCUAGUGACUCAGACCUGUAUUCACCUCCCCAGUGGGAGGGCGGGCUGGCAGUGGCAGUCAAGAUGGGAAUAAUUGUGCCCAAAGCCCGCCCUGGUGUACAUGCUCCUCCCUGCUGGCUGCUGGAAUUGGCAGAACCAGUCAGAGCAGACAUCCUGACUCCACCAGAGCCCUACCUGGGCCUGGCUUCCCAGGCCUUCCUACUUUGCCAGGGUGGGUGCAACCAGCCUCCGCGGGAAGGGACCCUCUCUGAAGGCCCCAUGACCCUCCGUGGACUUUCCUCUCUCAGGAACAAGGUGGACAUUGCUUGCACACCUUUGCUGGAGCUGGGGGAAAGGAAGGGACCGGAAACAAAAGGAGAUGCCUGAACCUCCUCCACCCCAGCCAUUCCUGUGCUCUCGUGGAGUUGAACACAGUAGGGACACAGGAGCAAGAGGGCCAGGGUGAGGUCCCAGGGCAUGCACGAAGCUGAGAGGAAAGGGAGGCGGGAGGAGCGCCUGGGAGCCCUGCCAGCGGUGUUACAAGCAGAAGGUUUUAUCGAACACAAUAUGCCCAGGAAUAAAAAGGGAGUGAAACACAAACCCAGCUGCCGAUAAGACGGUGCGGCAGCGGCAGCCCCGGGCAGCGGGUAUGGAAUUACUGCAGUGACCUUGAGCCAGACCCUGCCAGGUGGAGGGAAGGACACUGAGAAGCCAGAACCUGGGAGGCCACUUCAGAGAUGGAAAGAAAGCAGGAGGGUACUAGCAGAGAGGGAGCAUAGGCUGGUCUGGGGGUGGGGACAUAGAGUAGAGACUCCCUCCUCCACACGGGUCCCCAAGGAGGAAUUGGAGUGGUGGAACUUCUCAGGACACAAGUCCAGAAGGGUGCCAGGGUGGGGGAUGGAGAAAUUCCUAAAAGUCAGCAGUGAGGAAGCAGAUGGCAUCCCCAGGGUGGAGGUUCAGAGAGAUGGAAAGAACCAAUCACAUGCACGAAUUUGCCAAAGAAUGUGCGCACCUCCACCAGCCAGCACCCUCCCCAUCGUGGGUCCCCAUCAAGCCCAGAGUGAGCAAUGGGGGAGUGGCAAUAUCCUUCCUGCUGCUAGAGGGAUGUGGGACUGGAUGGUAGCUAACCUCAGGCUGCCUGGCUUCAUCAGAUCUGAGUUGGCUGUGUCCGGUAGAGCACUGGAGUGGACUAAGGGGGCAUCCUGAGGUUAGCGGUGUAAACACAGAGAUAUGCAGGAUCUGAGGGGACCGCCACCAAGAACCUCUGGAUGGCCCUACGUCCCUGUCCCUUUCCGGAGGGAGCAGGAAGGUAGGGGGGGGGGUUGCAGGUAAGAAGCCUCCAGGUCCUCCACAGUCCUGCCUUUCCUGGGAGAGAGACUAAGUCCUGAGCCCACUCUAGCCCCCGCCCUCAUGCAGGGCACCACCGCGGCGGCGGCGGCGGAAGCGGCGCGGGAGGGAGCUUACCUCCAGUGUGGGCUCCCUCGCCCCAGCCCCAGCAGGCUCUGCAGUGACCCUCUGACUUGCAGGGUAUGGCACAGCCUCAGGAGCGGCUCCAGAGCCAUCCACCAUAGACCCUGGCCUCGGGAGCCCCACCCUCGACCGAGAGGCACCAGGGCCCUCUGAAGGACAGCAGGGUCCCUCAGCGGGUUGGAGCUCAGCCUCCGGCGGCUGCCUCUCCGACUCCUGCCGGCCAGCAGUCUCGGGAGGAAAGUUGUUCAGCUGGCCAGGCAGGUCUGCCUCAGCAGUAACAGGACACAGGAUGACGGGCCGGGCGUGUUUAACCCCUUCCUGCUGUCGGCCGGCCGGGCGGGCGGGCGGGCGGUGCCUUCAGGGGAGGAGACCUGCUUGUUUGUCUGCCGGUGACCUCAGGGGUACAGACCUGGAGCUGAUCCACGCCCACCCUGCCGGGAGUUAACCUUUCCACUACCUCCUCAGCUAGAAGGGGAAUGGGGUAGGGGUGGAGGCAACUCCAAUACCACCACCACCACCACGCCCUACCCCUCCUAGUCAGGGCGACAGUAAAACAAGAAGGCAGAACACCCCCUGGGGUUUGUCUUUUCCUGCUCCCAGCUGGCUUCCCCUUGCUACCACAAGGGUCCUGAGGACUCUGCCUCUCCAGCUCUGGAAGGGCCCUGCCGCCUCUCAAACUCCUUCUUCCACAUCUCACCUGGAGUGUGCUGAAGGCUCAUGAGGUCAGUAUGAAUCCCACAGGACUUGGCUACUCCCAAGCUACCGGCUGCCCUUAAUCCUCCGUGGCUCCUAGAGACCCCCCCAGCCCACAAGUUGUUUGCAGUUGUUACAACAGAAGCCCCAGGAUGACCUGAGCAGGCGCUGCCUGUCUUGCCCAGCUGUUACCCUUCACCCAUUUGACAAGGCCCACAUUCCUUGGUCCAGGAAGGAGUGGGAACUCUCAAAGCUGUUUUCCUGGAGACAUUGUCUCCCCGUGUAGCCCAGGCUGGCCUCAAAGUCAUUAUGUAGCUCAGGCUGAUUUUGAAUUUACAACCUUCGGUGUCCGGCUGAGAUUACAUUUUUCACUGUAGCAGGAAAAUGGCUCAGGGCCAGAGGAGUUGACUGGCGGAAGGGAUGAAGCCGACCAGAGCCCCAAAGACUAACGUCUGCUUAGGACAAGGGUGCUAAAGAGAGCAGAUGGGGAGAGGAAAUUUGUACAUGUGAGAGUUUCUUGGACUGUUGCAAAUAGUUGUACUUUUGUUUUUCUUCAGACCUGGGGUGGGUCUGGGCUCAGCCCCAAUUCCUCCGGGGUUUAAAGAGCUUGGCAAGUGCCAUCCUGAAGGAUGAGGUGAGCUGAAGUAGAAGACUCCAGAAAGUCAGAUUCCAUCAGCCCUGCUUCUCCUCCUAGUCCCUCACUCGGUCCCUACUGUGUGAGGCCACUUGAGCUGGAUCCGGGAAGCAUGACCCUGAAAGUGUGGGCCUGAGGCAGGCAGCGACUGCUCCAAAGAUGCAUCGAUCUGCCCUGUCACCUGACCUGCUCUCCUGCUUUGUCAUCUGCACAUCGCCUCCCUCCAUGUGGGUGGCUCUGAGAACCACAUGCGGGCAGGUGGGAUACAGGAGGUCCUAGACCAUCACCUGACACAGUUGAGACCCAGCGUCCCCAGAGGCACAACGGGUGUAGGAACCUAAAGAUUCUUUAUUGACUUCUUCUAACCAUUUUCCCAGGAGGAACCGUGGGCCCAGGAAUCAGCUGCAAAAACGCAAAGGUUCUUCAACAUUCUUUAGGGGGCUGAGCUCAUCAGCCAGGAUCAUCAUGUCGGUAACCAAGUUAUCCAGCAGCCCAUAGACCUGCAAGAAUGGGAUAAACAUCAGAGGCCAAGGCUGGCCUGCAGAAGGCACCGAUGGACCAGCCUUACUAAAAGAGGAAAUACGGAGAGCAGAAUGCCAAAGUUGGAUAGUGUAUUGCUGCAUGUAAUUGUUUUUCAGAUCUGGAGUGGGUCUGGGAAUCAGUUCCAAUUCUGUGUUGGUUUUCCAGAAGCCAACUCUCCUUCCUGUAAGAUCAUAGCUCUACAUAUUGAAGGUUCCAAAAACCAAGACUGAGCCCCCCCCCCCCACUGCGGCUGGACCACACAGCUUAAGAAAAUUGACUCUUAAUACCAUAGAGUCGAAGAAGUGUUUAUACCCCGGAGUCCCCAGCGCCCCAAAACUCCCUUCUGGAGCCCAUCAGCCAUCAGAAGACUCAAUGAUGUCACAGGCAGCAGCAAACUAUUUCUGGUCAAAGGAGACCCUGGGGUGGUCCCACAGUGCACAGUAAUGCAAGCCCAGAUUCGCAAUGCCUUAUCAGGGAAAGACAAAGCAUCCCUGUUAGAUAUGCUGACUUAGUCAGCGUGGUUUUGUAGACCUCCCACACACCUUGAAAAAAAAACCAUAGUAACCAAAGACUAAGAUGACCUGGGGCAUCUCUGAGGACCUGUUGCUUAAGACCAGAUCACGAUGAAGUCUUUUCAGCAAAUGCACACUGGCUCUCCUUUGAAUGUACAUUGCCCCCUCCAGAGCUCAUGUUAAAAUCUGCUUCCGGUAUGAGUGUUGAGAAAUCUGGAGACCUUUAAGAGGUCUUUGAGUCAGGAGGGCCCCACCUGCACCGAGCAAUUAAUACCUUCACCACAGUGAGUCCUGGCGGUUGUCAGGAAACAAGUCUCCUUUUGUGUACCUUCCACACAAGCCCAGCUGCCCCUCUGCCUUCUACCAUGAGUUGAAGCAGCACGAGUGCCCUACCCCUGGGCUUUCUGGCCUGCAGAGCUGUGAGCCAAGAUAAACUUUUCCUAUAAAUCUCCUGAUCUGUGGUAUUUUGGUAUAGCAACAGAAAGAGGACUAAGACAACCCUCCACGGUAUUCUCCCAGGAAACACACCUCUUACCAGUGUGUACCUGUGGGGAGGUGGACGCAGCUCUACAAAGGGAAGGCCUUCACCCUUGGUGUGUUCCCGGGAGUCUGUUUUCCAAAGGACAGCUAGAGGCACCCUACGUCCGAUCAUAUCACUCUCAAUGACUUCCGGGGUCACCCAGAGGAAACUCCGAGGCGAGGCCUCACAUGGGCCAGCCAAGGCCUUCUUGACCACCCACAUGCCCUGUCUGCAGCUUCUCUUCCUUGCCACUCUCCUGGCCCACUUCCUCCUCCGCAUCAGCUGCUUCCUCUGCCUAAGGCACCCUUCCUUGGCCAACCUUCAUUUCUCUCUGGUUUUUGUUUGUUUGUUUGUUUGUUUGUAGGUAAAUGCAGGUGCUCCUCAGUGGAAUAAAGGGAAGGAGAGAUGCAGGGGUGAGGGCUGGGAGGUAUGGUAGCCCCCUCUUCCCUUCACCUCAGCAUGCAACCUCUGGGUAUAUUUCUGCAUGACCAGGGGGUCUAUGGGCUCCUGCGAAGGGACCGUGCUGUCAGGGGUAGGGUCUUCUGAGGAGAGCCUGUCCCGGCUUGCAGACUUCACCACUUUCUUGUCAUCCUUUGCCUUCAGUUUCUUGCUAUUCAGGCGAUCCUGCGUGGAGAAAUGGAGACACACAACCUCAACAGCUCCUGAGGGAGGUCUGAUGUUCUCUCCGGUGGCUCUCCUGGAGCGACCGCCCCCCUCCCAUGUCCCACCCCCCCAGCACUCCCCAGCCCCAUCGGGGUGCAGAUCACAGCCGCACAUACCUCUUUCCCUGAUGCCUUGGCCCCCUUUUUUUCCUCUUUGUCUCUGGCGCCCAGCACUUUCUUUUCCUGUGUGGCCCCUUUCCGCUCCUCCUUCCCGACUUUACUCACCGCCACCUUCACUUCUACGACUGUGGGGGACUUUUGACCUAAGAGGGGGAAAGUGGGAGACAUCCAGAAGCACACACCCCCCCCCCACCCACCCCCCCACCCCCGCGAACACAUGGCCUGGUCUACAUCCCAGGCUUAUGCCAAGGUAAGCUGGGUGAUGAGGAAAAUAGAGAAUCCCUGCAGGCUGAGAGCAGAGGGGGUAAGGAAGUGGGGGGGAGGGAGAAGACUUCCUCCAGCCCUCCACGUGACCUUAGGGAACAAGGCUGUGUGACCAGGGCAAGAGACAGUUCAGUCCCAGCCCCACUCUGUUUAAACUCCCUGUGAUUCAGCGUGCUAAACAAGGGGACUCCACCAAGGUAGAAUCUGAGUCUCAAGUCCUGGCAACAGACACAAAGAUGGAUGAAAAAAAAAAACAAAACAAAACACAAAAACCAAGCUGGAUGAGACCCACCACUAGGGACUCAAGUACCUACCAUAAGGGGUUAAACAGUCAAGGUAUUACUGCCUUCAGGGCAGAGGGCUGAGGAAGAGAAGACUACAUGAGGUGAGCCCUCACAAUGUCUGACCUUGGUCUUCUGGAACAUCCAAAUAAACGGUCUCCUUCUCAGGCAAUCCCAAAAGAGCCCUUAGCCACAGUGACUGGCUUACCAGGCUGUCAAUCACAUCUCGCCACAGCUGCAAACUAGAGGAAAAGACACAUUGGAGAAAAGCCAUCACUCUUCAUCUGUCCUCGAACCUUCGGAGGCUCGGAUGCCUCCCUUUGAAGACUCCAGCACAGGGGAAACACUACCACGAAAAUGCCAUGUUACCAAGCAGCCAAUCCUCCCUGACACCAUGCAAGUGUUCACAUCGGAAAUCUGGCUUCCCUGUGGUGGCAACCAAGAGACAAGGACCAGGACUGGUAUUAAGAAGCCUGAAUGAACUCAGUCUUGCUUGAGAGUCUAAAUUCCAGCUUGGAGUGAUGGCUAGACUCGGUCAGGCUCCAUGGGAAGGGCUGACUGAGCCUUGCACAAGAUUCCCGGCAUGAGGCUCCUGAGGCUGUGUUCUGGACCUUUCAAAAACCUAUCCACCUAAGUCCAAACAGGUGACCGCUCGGUGACACAGACAAGUGAAGCUUUUUGUGAGGCUCCCUCUCCCUUCAAGUGUCCCCUGCCCCCUCCCACCCCAGCCCCCAUUCUUCUGCUUGAGAAGGAACAAGACAAGGGGGAGGGAAUGGGGUCGGGGAGGCAAACUGCUCCCCAGAGGAGCAAGGGGCAGCUGUGAGGCUGCUCUAGCAGAUUCCAGAGUAUGAGAUGUUUGCAGCAUUUCUUAGCAUCCUGGCGUCCGGAGCUACCUUCCCAGGGCCCCUGGCCAGGCACUACCAAGGGAAGGAGGAGAUCUGGGGUGGUCCCCAGGAGGGUACCUACCACAUCUGGUGCAGGAGAUCAGACUGCAAUGGCUUCUGCUCCUGGCACAGCUCCACGGCUGCCUUGUUGAGCCGGAUGAGGGCAUCCUCUCUCUGGAUCUCCUCAGGAAAGGUAAUCACUGCCUGGUUAGGGCCAUGGACACCAUGGGCAACCAUUCUGGACCAGAAGAACUCCAAGGGUCCCUGUGUUUUCUCUAGCAAUGGACCUGGCUACAUGGAACAGAAGCUAUGGAGUCUAUAGAGGAUGCCUUCUCUGGGAACCAGUGACCUGCCUCAAAAAAUCUAUUCCCAUGAACCUCAGUUUUCAAAGAAGCUCCUUGUUUUAAAAAAAAAAAAAAAAAAAAAAAAAAGUUUUGACUCAAGAGACUACUUUUUUCUGGGCCCUUGGGUUUCAUCUAUAUGCCCACGGGCCAAGGGAAGUUGCUGGAGCAACACACCCAGGGACCUUCUCCACCAACCCCGCCAGAGUCUUAGGGGCACCUUUCUGAAGUCCUCCAGGCAGAGGUUCCACUUGGGCAGGGGAAGGCUCUCCAGCUCCCAAGGGCUCCUGGUAUUCUCCCUGUCAGGACUCUCCUCCACCAGGAUCUCCUCCAUGAUGCUCUUCCGUGGAAAACUCUUGCUGCCCACGCCAGUCUUCUGAGACAGGAAGGACUCCCGGGUUUCCUUGAGCGUCUCCGACUCCUGCCUCAGUUGCAGCUGUGAGGCAUCCAAGACUGGACUCCUGCUGCUCCGGCUGCUCCGGCUGCUCAUGGAGUGUUCGAGGUCUGCUUGGGCCUUGUCAACGAACACCACCGGCAGUGGACCCGGCCGGGCUCUGGGGCUGAGGGCAUCCUCCUGACCUGCCCUGGCCUCGUCAGUCUUCAGCGGCAGGAGCGAACACUGCUGCCACAGCUGGUGCAGGUUUUGCACCACUUGAUGCUGGUAAUGCAACUGCAGCCCAGGUGAGGGAGGACACAGACACAGAGGCACAUGCCUUUGGGCCUCCCAAGACAGGCAAGGUUUAAAUGAAGAAUCACAUGAUGUUCUGGUCUCACUAAGCAUCCGCCCACUUGUCAACUAUUUUGGGAUCGCUGUGAGGGGGCGAAUUACUUGUGGAAGAUGUGCCCAGCACAGGUUCCGGCAUGCGGAAGGAUUUGCUACUACAACCACCCAGAGUGCACAGGGCCAACCCAUACCCGAGGAUUCCUGUGGUGGAACAAGUCCUCCUCGGUGAGAUUGGCAUCCACGGGGGAUGGUACACGCUCUGGAGUCGAGACACCCCUCAGCAACUCCUGCAGCACACUCUGUGCGAUGGUGACAGCCUCGUGGGCAGCCAGCUUACUCUGGGGAAAGAAAGACGGCACAAGAUGGCAGCCUGGGCUCUCCACUGCCCAUGUAUCCUCAAGGAGAGAGUCAGAACAUUCUAGAGUAGGGUCUGAGUUCCUACCUGGACGUCAGUCCCUCUGACUUACACAGACACCUAUUAUUGCAAGACACAAAAAUCUCCAGGUCUCUCUAAACAUCCAUGUUCCCCUCAAAAAGGUAAAAGACACCAGCAGAGGCCAGUGCCAGAGGAGAGCCACUCCCGCACAGGAUUUGGACCCUCCAAUCCCCUAUUGGAAGAAGGCGUAGAGUCAGAGUCCACAGUUUGGGUGCCAUUAAGGAUGGUAGUGAACUUUCCUCUGGCCUGGCCACAUAGUGUCAUAGAAACCCAGCCGAAGGGCAUCUCUCUCCACACACAGGUCCUAGAGUCAGCAAAUACAGUGAACUUGGCCUUUGUCAAAGUUACAAUCUAAUUGGCACGGGCCAAGCCCCAGCCUGAAGCAGGCAGCUGUGUGUAGGGUACCACAUAAAUGCCCAGCUUUCCAUAGAAUCCCACAGAGCAGGGCACAAGAAAACCACACCGAGACUGAACAGGGACAAAGAGCCUCCCGCUCUCACCUUGACUCUGCAGGGAGGCUGACAAUGAGAAGGGUACUGAAGCUGGUUAUUUAAGUCGCGGUCUCUGGGCCGGAAGUCUUGUCAGUUCAGUCCCACUCUACCGCACAGCGGCAGACAGCCACGAACAAAAGGCAGCCCCACCCUAAGGUCUCCCAUAGCCACCCGAGACUCACAGUCCCAGUGUGGAAGCUCCCACUAGGGACCCCUACAUACUUCUGUGAAGUCUGUAUCUCAGGAUUUCAUCUUGUUCCCUUCUAAUUCAGGGCUGCAAGGUAGGGUCCCUGGCUGGCCUGCCCUAGCCUGUCCUUUCAUCUUCUCCAUCAUAAAGGCCUGGGUAUUGUUUCCUAAGCAAGAGUAGUUAUCUGUCUGUGUGGUGAGAAAAAAAAAAAUCACCUCUCAAGAUAGGAAAAUUAAAGAUCCCUGGAGGAACCCCUGAGUGACCCAUGUGCUGCCCCCAUGGCUGACAUUCUAAGUCCCCUACCUCCAGCAACUUCCUCUCUUCGACAAAAGUGUCCUGGGUCAGUGAGAUAGCAUGGAGAGUGACCUGGAGGACAGCACCUCCCAGGAGGGUGGGAUGGGUCCCAAAUUCCCAAGAUUCCCUGAAGAUGCCAGCAUUCAGAGACUUGAAGAAGAAGGUGAAGUGUUUGGUCUCCCCAGGCAGAAUCACACCUGAGAGAGACAGAGGCAGAGGCUGUGAUGGAGGAGCUGGCCGAACCGCCAGUCUACGUGCAGAAAGGCCACUGCAGCCCAGCCCACAUCUGGUCACCAGCCAGCCAGCCCUGCUUCUCAGGACCAUAAGGUUUCCCGGAAUGGGUGACUUUGAGUGUUACAGCUGGGAAAGAGCGAGUCAGUCAGGAACAGAUGGUCAUCCUGGCCCCAGGUCUGUGCUCCCUGAACGGCUCCUCCCUCUCUGCAUUCUCAAGAAUUCUCUUGUUUUCUCAACAAAUGUGAAUAGUUAGACCACACACUUCAUGAGAGAAACGGGAGCGUCAAGGCAGAAGGAGGGGAGAGACCGGUAGGUACUAACCAAACACUGGAGUGUCCCGGUCACUGAGGCAAAUGGGGAGCUGGUGAGGAGGGUAGCUUGGGGGUACCUUCCCGGUUGUUAAAGUAAAACCGCUGCGUCCUGUUUCUCUUUAGGUCUUGGAAAAAAUUCAUCUGGGGCCGCCGUCGCCAGUCGUACCAAAUGGCCACAGUGCCGUUAUUGACCACAGUUAGUUCUGAAGAUGUUUUCUCCCCUUCGAGGGUCUCAAAUGUCAGGCGAACACCAAUGCCAAUGGUUUGCUGUGGAGGAAGUAGGCACAAGCACUGUGCUGGCUACAAGUUUCACCCUCGGGUGACCAAGUCAUCCCUGUUUCCUAUGACUUCUCUGAAAGUCCAGUGUUGACACUGUUCCUCUGGGCUUGGUCACCCUGAGUGGUGUCAACCCUACACCAGUAAUUGCCUCUGAGGUUAUCACCAACACUAAGAAGAGAAGUAUUUGACACCCGGUAUUGUUUUUGGUCCUUAGCAUCUGAAGAAUGUUCUAGAACAGGUACUGGGGAGGUGACUCAGAGGUUAGUUUGCAAGCCCAAAGACUGGAGAUCUGAUCUCCAGAAGCCAGGUUGAGUGUGACAGUCUGCCUGUUAUCCCAGCACAUAGGAGGUGAAGACGGAAUCCCCAGAGUGAGCUGGCCAGCCAGACUCACCCCAACAUUAGCUGUAGGUUCAGUGAAAGCCCCUGCCUCAGGACACAGGUGGAAAGAAAGAGAUGGAGACGCUCUGUCAGCCUCAGGCCUACACAAAGACGUUCACACAAGAGGUGCACUGCACCCAACAUCUGUGCUCACACAUAUUUGCAAUGCACAUGUGUGUAAGUCUCCACACAUUCACAUACACAUACAAAAACUAUAAUAAUAAUAAUAAAUAUUAUCCUAAAACCUCCAUCUAGCCCCAUCUAUGUAAAAGGGGUUAUUUGCCUGCUGGAGGGCUAGUUGAAAACUAGGUAUUAUCAGUGAUGCGCUCUCUCUCUCUCUCUCUCUCUCUCUCUCUCUCUCUCUCUCUCCCCCUACCCACCACAGGGUCUCUUUGUGUAGCCUUGGCUGUCCUGGAACUUGCUCUAUUCUAGGCUGGCCUCGAACUCACAGAGACCCGCCCGCCUCUGCCUCCUGAGUGCUGGGAUUUAAGGUGUGCGCCACCGCUGCCAGCCUUUUCAGCCUUGUGAUCUCAUUUUGCUUCAGUUAGUGCUGCUGUUACCAUUUCCAGGCAUGUGGAAUGUGCAAUCAGAUAAAAACACCUAUCAGAAACUGUGGACUCCUUGUGACUGUCACGGUCACCUUGGGGCCUGGCCCGUCAGGGAGGCCCUUCCUGCAAGUGCAUGAAGCUGAAAAGGCAGUUUACCUUGUCCUCUGAGUUACUGCCUCUGAUCCAGCAAGCUGGCUUCCCACAGAACAGCAGUGAAGGGCCGAGAAUAGGCAUGGGGACCAUGUCAGAGACAUUGGUCAAUGAGUCUCUGUAAGAAAAAAAAAAAAACAAAAAAACCAAAAAACGAUUCUUUAUUUUCCUGGAGG